GAGAUAUUAAUCAGGUGGAGCAUCCAGAACUAUGCUAUACAGAUUGCUGUACUCUUUUUUCUUCCUUCCAUCAGUUUUCUACCUCACUGGGUUUUUCUCCAAGCAAGGUUUUAAUGAGGCAAUCAAUCUAGGGACAUGUGGUCUCCAAGGGGGAGUGUUGCAAAGAAGAAUAAGUAAAGAAGAAUAGGUGAAGCCCACAUAGCCAACUAACACCCACUAAACCUAACCACACACCCACCAAACCAAACCACUACCCAAUUGAUUGAAGAAUAUUAAUGAUGUUGUUGAUUGAAGAAUAUUAAUGAUGUUGUUGAUUGAAGAAUAUUAAUGAUGUUGUCUACCAAUUAUAUUGUGAGGUGAACAACCAAUGUCUUUGGCCUAUAAAUAGAUACAUCCA
rnacentral:lncRNA from 1 species